UUGCACGCUGGCGGCAGGCCUAACACAUGCAAGUCGCGCGGAUGAAGGGAGCUUGCUCCUGGAUUCAGCGGCGGACGGGUGAGUAAUGCCUAGGAAUCUGCCUGGUAGUGGGGGAUAACGUCCGGAAACGGGCGCUAAUACCGCAUACGUCCUGAGGGAGAAAGUGGGGGAUCUUCGGACCUCACGCUAUCAGAUGAGCCUAGGUCGGAUUAGCUAGUUGGUGGGGUAAAGGCCUACCAAGGCGACGAUCCGUAACUGGUCUGAGAGGAUGAUCAGUCACACUGGAACUGAGACACGGUCCAGACUCCUACGGGAGGCAGCGGUGGGGAAUAUUGGACAAUGGGCGAAAGCCUGAUCCAGCCAUGCCGCGUGUGUGAAGAAGGUCUUCGGAUUGUAAAGCACUUUAAGUUGGGAGGAAGGGCAGUAAGUUAAUACCUUGCUGUUUUGACGUUACCAACAGAAUAAGCACCGGCUAACUUCGUG
rnacentral:rRNA from 1 species